rnacentral:lncRNA from 1 species
CAUCUUUAGAUGGCUGACAAUGAGACUUUGCUGUGUUAAAACUCUGAUUUGUAUUUCCUGCGGCAUAAGGUGUAAAAUUUUAAAGGAUGUAUUAAAGUUUAAGUAAACUUCUUAGCACAUGCUUAUCUUCCAAACCCUUCAGGAUGUGGGGAAAACCAAUGAUUUUUUUCCCCCUAGCUUUCUUAUUUUGAGGAAGUAAUAACAUUGUGAGACGCUUCCAUAUUAGCAGAGAAAUCUGAAUAAAGUUAACAGAAGAUAAAAUACAAUGCACCUGACCAUUAAGUUCUGAGGAGAUAGAGAGAGAGAUAGAGAUAGAGAUAGAUUAGAAACACCUUUUCAUAGAAAGAAAAUAAAUCUUGCAUUAAUUGAAGCUUCUUAUUUCUUUUUUAGUGUGUUAAGCAGAAGCAUCUCAGUUGUGAACUGGCAACCAUUGCUCCAGUAUCCUCUACUGCUCUCCCAGCACUUCUCUGGGGACUCUCAGCACUCAGAAAAGAUGAUUAUGACAGAAUUCUAACACAGUAAAAUACAUCAAGGAUUUAUAUUUGGGGGAGAGAAACUCUGCCAGAAAAAGAACAACCCCAAAACAAUUAGAAAAAAAAAAGUCUCAACAAAACCCAAAAACUCAGAAGAGUCUGAAUGUCUGGUGUGAUAAUACAAAAGAUGUAUGCAAGAAGGCUUCCCAGAGAAGAGGAGCCACGCUUUUAAUCAAGUGCAAUAUUGUGUGGAUUGCACAUAUUACAGCAUAUUAUGUCUUACUUC